UUGACCUCGAAUCAGGUAGGAAUACCCGCUGAACUUAAGCAUAUCAAUAAGCGGAGGAAAAGAAACCAACCGGGAUUACCUCAGUAACGGCGAGUGAAGCGGUAACAGCUCAAAUUUGAAAUCUGGCUCUUGCGGAGUCCGAGUUGUAAUUUGUAGAAGAUGCUUUGGGUUGUGGGUUCGGCCUAAGUUCCUUGGAACAGGACGUCAUAGAGGGUGAGAAUCCCGUAUGUGGCCGAGGCCCGCGCCUAUGUAAAGCUCUUUCAACGAGUCGAGUUGUUUGGGAAUGCAGCUCAAAAUGGGUGGUAAAUUUCAUCUAAAGCUAAAUAUGGGCCAGAGACCGAUAGCGCACAAGUAGAGUGAUCGAAAGAUGAAAAGCACUUUGGAAAGAGAGUUAAACAGUACGUGAAAUUGUUGAAAGGGAAGCGCUUGCAACCAGACUUGGGCGCUGCCGAUCACCUUGAGUUUUCUCGAGUGCACUCGACAGCGCACAGGCCAGCAUCGGUUCGGGUGGCUGGAUAAAGGCCGUAGGAAUGUGGCUCUCUUCGGGGAGUGUUAUAGCCUACGGUGCCAUGCAGCCCAGCCGGACCGAGGACCGCGCCUUCGGGCUAGGAUGCUGGCGUAAUGGUUGUAAGCGACCCGUCUUGAAACACGGACCAAGGAGUCUAACAUCUAUGCGAGUGUUUGGGUGGUAAACCCAUACGCGGAAUGAAAGUGAACGUAGGUGAGAACCCCUUUGGGGCGCAUCAUCGACCGAUCCUG
rnacentral:rRNA from 1 species